rnacentral:rRNA from 1 species
UACGUAGGGGGCAAGCGUUGUCCGGAUUUAUUGGGCGUAAAGAGCUCGUAGGCGGUCUGUCGCGUCGGUCGUGAAAACUUGGGGCUUAACCCUGAGCUUGCGGUCGAUACGGGCAUGACUGGAGUUCGGCAGGGGAGACUGGAAUUCCUGGUGUAGCGGUGAAAUGCGCAGAUAUCAGGAGGAACACCGGUGGCGAAGGCGGGUCUCUGGGCCGAUACUGACGCUGAGGAGCGAAAGCAUGGGGAGCGAACAGG